GGUAUAUCUUGGUCCCGGAACAAAAUGAGGCGUCUCCUGCCGAUCCAGUUAGAACAUCGAACGAUAGAUCGAGGCCCAUACUGAAAAACUGAAAUCUCCAACCCCAAGCUAUUCAACAGAGCUUGCUUAGAGCGUUUAUCUGCAACCACAAGCAUCCCUAGUAAUGAGACGAUAAUACAGAACGCUAGCUUGAUAAUUUUUGUAGCUUUUGGCAAAACGGUCGUCUCCUUUCGGCCGAAGCCCCAUCCGGAUCCGCGUCCGUAUCCGUGAAGCAAUUUGCGGCGACCAACGCAUCUCCCAUAAACCCUAAAAAUGGUCGGCACCGCCCUCACUGGACAAUGAAGCGCGCGUGGAGACUCUCCGACGCAGCCCAAGCAGAGUUGUUCUGCUUUCACAGAACUUCUGCUAAACCAAAGCCCCUUAACACCUUCCCUAUCUUCGUCCUAAGCUCUGCGAAUUACGUAUGCACCCCCCAAGUCAAUACCCACACUCGACCCUCUGAGCAUUCCGUGUUACGAGAGAUGGUUGGUUUAUUCUGCCGCAAGCCCUAUUUCCAUAAUUGGGUUGCCAGAGAGGAUUUUAAAAGGGCAGUUGAGAAAUUGGGGUGCGAAUUAGUUCGGGUAGCCGACGACCCUGAUGCAGUUCUUAAUGUUUUGGAGAAGAAUUCGCACUCUUGGUUUUGGAGUUGCCCUGGUGGGAAUGCCUUUGUUGAUCUUAUGGAUCUAUUGGAAUCAUGGCCUCACUUGUCUCUAAUGGUUUUAAAUUGGAGAAGAAAAAGUUCUCUUUCUGGCGCCCCCAUGGCUCCUGAAGAGUAUUCGAAGGGUAUCAAAGUUGCUGGUAGAUCUAAAAAUAUUGAUCUUGCAGUUGACCUGUUUAAUGAAGCUGCAGACAAGAAAAUGAAAACAACAGCUAUUUAUAAUUCGUUGAUGGCUGCUUAUAUGUUCAACGGUCUUCCUGGGAAAUGCCGGUCAUUAUUUCAGCGGAUGAAGAGGGGUGAAACUUGUAGCCCUAACAUAAUAACUUACAAUAUUCUUAUUUCUGUUUUUGGUCGCUUGAUGCUAAUAGAUCGUAUGGAAGCAAUAUUUGAUGAGAUAAAUAAUUCAGGCCUUUCCCCGAAUAUAAGCACUUAUAAUUAUUUGAUUGCUGGGUAUGUUACAGCUUGGAAAUGGGAUAGAAUGGAGCAAACUUUUCAAAUGCUGAAGUCAAGCCCUUUUAUACCUGACAUUGAUACAUACCUGCUGAUGCUGCGUGGAUAUGCUAAUUCGGGUAAUCUGAAGAAGAUGGAAGAGACAUAUCAGUUAGUGAGGGAUCAUGUAAAUGAGAAUGGAAUUCCUUUGAUCAGGGGCAUGAUAUGUGCAUAUUGUAAAAGUUCUGAGCCUGAUAGAGUUAAGAAGAUAGAGGAAUUACUGAAGUUCAUUCCGGAAAAGGAGUACAGGCCAUGGUUAAAUGUGUUGUUAAUUAGGCUUUAUGCACAAGAGGACUCCUUAGAGGAAAUGGAGAACUCAAUUAAUGAUGCAUUUGAGCACAAAGUCUUAGUAAAAACAUCUGGUAUAAUGCGAUGCAUCAUUGCGACUUAUUUUAGGAAAAAUUUAGUGGACAGGUUAGAAAAUUUUUUGAGGCGUGCUGAAUGUUCCAACUGGAAAAUUUGCCGCUCCUUAUACCAUUGUAAGAUGGUCAUGUAUGGAUCACAAAAGCGCUUUGAGGAAAUGGAAAGUGUCCUGAAUGAGAUGGAAAGUGUCAAUUUGGGUUCGACAAAGAAAACAUUGUGGAUUUUGUAUAAUGCUUAUGUACGCUGUGACCAUAGAUCCAAGGUUGGGAAAAUAUUGGGACUUCUGUGCAAGCGUGGAUUUGAUUUUCCGGUGAGUGCAGUCCCAUUGUAAAAUACAUUGUUGGGAGCAUUAUUUGUGACCCACAGAUGGCUGAUUAACUGCGUAAUGAAUAUCUUCACAUUGGUCUGCGAUGCGGGACAUCAAUACGUAGCCCCAUGCAGUAUGUUUCAUGAUGGGAAUACAUUCAAAGGAUUUUCAUGCCAAUGCUUGAGAAAAGUUCCUCGAUGUUUGUAAUGAACAACCAUCUCUAUGGCAUGGGGUCUUGAACAGUUUAUAUGUAUGCAUCUUCUCUCGAAGGGUGUCACUUGCAUGCUGUUAUGAAGGAGCUGCAUUUCUUGUGCCACUGCAGUGGAAAGAACUCAUCUUUAAACACCUAACUUUUUUUUUUUUUUAAUAAAGACUUUGGAGCAUGAUGCUAUGGAGAUCAGACAGCUUUGUUUUCUGCCUUAAAAGAAGUCUUAUCUCCCAUCUAGAUAAGGUGCUGUAUAUGUGCAGUCUUUAGCAGAUAAAGGCACCACAAGUGUAAUAACUGCUUGUUGCCUGCACCCUGCAGAAUCCAAAAUCGGCUCCACGUUCCACCUAGGCUGAUAACGCUUGUCUGCCAAUAAUUCAAUGUUCAUGAUCACUACAAUUGGAUGAAAGAGUGCAGAUGUUGCUUAGAUUCAGAGACUAUGAACAGCUUCGAGUUGUGGAACUUUUCAAGAGCACGGAUGAUUUUUACUAGGUAAACUACAUUUGGAACGGCCAUGAUUUGGACCGUAAUGAUACUGGAUAGCAUUUUGGCAUCUUUGUAAUGGUACCUGUAUGAGAGUUGAUAAUCUGUGAAUCAAACCAGAAAGCAUGUUAAGCAGCAGUCCAGCUUUUGAGCUGACAUCACUAACUUUUCCUGAGGGGGUAUAUAUAUGUAUGAGCAUCCGUAACUGGCAAGAGUUAAAUUUGAGUAGUCUGGAGUUGUAUAACUGCCCCCCUUUGUUCAGUAUGGGACCUUGGAGUGGUUAAUUUCUAGGUGCUUUAUAUUUUUUUCCCCCCUGAUGGCAGGUAUCAAUAUUCAUGUUAGGAAGGGCAUUUCUACACAUUUUUCUUGAAUUUGUUUUUAAGAACAUGGAUUUGAUUACUUACAUUUGUACUGUAAUUCUAAGUGUUUUAAAUUUGGAAUCUAAGGCUUUUAAAAUAUAA